UCGGACGUGGUGCACGGUGCACACCCGCUGGCAAUUUGAGGUUGCGGAUAUGUAUAACCGGGAGCCUGGGUUCGACUCCCAGCGUCCGUU